AUGAAGGACGUGCUAAUCUGCGAUAAGCGUCGGUGAGGUGAUAUGAACCGUUAUAACCGGCGAUUUCCGAAUGGGGAAACCCAGUGUGUUUCGACACACUAUCAUUAACUGAAUCCAUAGGUUAAUGAGGCGAACCGGGGGAACUGAAACAUCUAAGUACCCCGAGGAAAAGAAAUCAACCGAGAUUCCCCCAGUAGCGGCGAGCGAACGGGGAGGAGCCCAGAGCCUGAAUCAGUGUGUGUGUUAGUGGAAGCGUCUGGAAAGGCGCGCGAUACAGGGUGACAGCCCCGUACACAAAAAUGCACAUAUUGUGAGCUCGAUGAGUAGGGCGGGACACGUGGUAUCCUGUCUGAAUAUGGGGGGACCAUCCUCCAAGGCUAAAUACUCCUGACUGACCGAUAGUGAACCAGUACCGU
rnacentral:rRNA from 1 species